rnacentral:rRNA from 1 species
UACGUAGGUCCCGAGCGUUGUCCGGAUUUAUUGGGCGUAAAGCGAGCGCAGGCGGUUUAAUAAGUCUGAAGUUAAAGGCAGUGGCUUAACCAUUGUUCGCUUUGGAAACUGUUAGACUUGAGUGCAGAAGGGGAGAGUGGAAUUCCAUGUGUAGCGGUGAAAUGCGUAGAUAUAUGGAGGAACACCGGUGGCGAAAGCGGCUCUCUGGUCUGUAACUGACGCUGAGGCUCGAAAGCGUGGGGAGC